GUGGGCUAUGGCGAUGUGGCGCCCAAGACGUAUCCGGGCAUGUUUGUCGGAGCUCUAUGUGCAUUGGCCGGUGUAUUGACCAUAGCUUUACCCGUACCUGUUAUUGUUAGCAAC
rfam:Drosophila willistoni strain TSC#14030-0811.24 scf2_1100000004585 genomic scaffold, whole genome shotgun sequence.